AGUAGUACUAUAACAGAAAACUUAAAUGUUAUGGCGGUCUUUCUUUAUUAGAGAAACUCGCUUACUAAUCGACAAUACCCGAUAAAUUUAACUUAGUAUAAAAGCUUAUAUACCGCCGUUAAUCAGACUCUGUAAAAAACAUAUCUCAUAAAAUAAAAUAAUCAAAUCUCAGGUCAAGGUGUAGCUCACAACUAAGUAUAAGUAAGUUACACUAAAAAUUAUUUAAGAAUUAUUUAAUAAAACUUAUGAAAAAGAAUUUAAUUUCACAUUUUAAUUAAAACUUAAUAUUGAAUAA
rnacentral:rRNA from 1 species